rnacentral:rRNA from 1 species
GUGAGGAAUAUUGGACAAUGGGCGCAAGCCUGAUCCAGCCAUGCCGCGUGAGUGAUGAAGGCCUUAGGGUUGUAAAGCUCUUUCAGUGGGGACGAUAAUGACGGUACCUACAGAAGAAGCCCCGGCUAACUUCGUGCCAGCAGCCGCGGUAAUACGAAGGGGGCUAGCGUUGUUCGGAAUUACUGGGCGUAAAGCGCACGUAGGCUGAUAUUUAAGUCAGGGGUGAAAUCCCGGGGCUCAACCCCGGAACUGCCUUUGAUACUGGGUAUAUUGAGUAUGGAAGAGGUCAGUGGAAUUGCGAGUGUAGAGGUGAAAUUCGUAGAUAUUCGCAGGAACACCAGUGGCGAAGGCGGCUGACUGGUCCAUUACUGACGCUGAGGUGCGAAAGCGUGGGGAGCAAACAGGAUUAGAAACCCGAGUAGUCC